ACCCCUCAAGUCUCAUCCCUAGAAUCUAAACUCGGGUCUGAGUGGUUAUAAAAGGAGGAAAAGUAAAACUGAACCUGACUUAAAUGCUCUUGUGCUACACAGCUAGUUUCAAACAAAA
rnacentral:snoRNA from 1 species